rnacentral:rRNA from 1 species
GAUGAACGCUGGCGGCGUGCCUAAUACAUGCAAGUCGAGCGAACGGACGAGAAGCUUGCUUUUCUGAUGUUAGCGGCGGACGGGUGAGUAACACGUGGAUAACCUACCUAUAAGACUGGGAUAACUUCGGGAAACCGGAGCUAAUACCGGAUAAUAUUUUGAACCGCAUGGUUCAAAAGUGAAAGACGGUCUUGCUGUCACUUAUAGAUGGAUCCGCGCUGCAUUAGCUAGUUGGUAAGGUAACGGCUUACCAAGGCAACGAUGCAUAGCCGACCUGAGAGGGUGAUCGGCCACACUGGACCUGAGACACGGUCCAGACUCCUACGGGAGGCAGCAGUAGGGAAUCUUCCGCAAUGGGCGAAAGCCUGACGGAGCAACGCCGCGUGAGUGAUGAAGGUCUUCGGAUCGUAAAACUCUGUUAUUAGGGAAGAACAUAUGUGUAAGUAACUGUGCACAUCUUGACGGUACCUAAUCAGAAAGCCACGGCUAACUACGUG